rnacentral:rRNA from 1 species
CAGUCGCCGCGGGAAUACGUAGGUGGCAAGCGUUGUCCGGAAUUAUUGAGCGUAAAGGGCUCGCAGGCGGUUUCUUAAGUCUGAUGUGAAAGCCCCCGGCUCAACCGGGGAGGGUCAUUGGAAACUGGGAAACUUGAGUGCAGAAGAGGAGAGUGGAAUUCCACGUGUAGCGGUGAAAUGCGUAGAGAUGUGGAGGAACACCAGUGGCGAAGGCGACUCUCUGGUCUGUAACUGACGCUGAGGAGCGAAAGCGUGGGGAGCGAACAGGAUUAGAUACCCGGGUAGUCCCUGUCUCUUAUAC